AGUGGGGAAUAUUGGGCAAUGGAGGAAACUCUGACCCAGCGACGCCGCGUGCGGGAUGAAGGCCUUCGGGUUGUAAACCGCUUUCAGUAGGGAAGAAGCGAAAGUGACGGUACCUACAAAAGAAGCACCGGCUAACUAUGUGCCAGCAGCCGCGGUAAUACAUAGGGUGCAAGCGUUGUCCGGAAUUAUUGGGCGUAAAGAGCUCGUAGGUCGUUUGUUACGUCGGAUGUGAAAACCUGAGGCUCAACCUCAGGCCUGCAUUCGAUACGGGCAAACUAGAGUUUGGUAGGGGAGACUGGAAUUCCUGGUGUAGCGGUGGAAUGCGCAGAUAUCAGGAGGAACACCAAUGGCGAAGGCAGGUCUCUGGGCCAAUACUGACACUGAGGAGCGAAAGUCUGGGGAGCGAACAGGAUUAGAUACCCCCGUAGUCCGG
rnacentral:rRNA from 1 species